rnacentral:rRNA from 1 species
UGGGCGGAAGGCUUACCUGCAAGUCGAGCGGAGCGAGGGUGCUUGCACCUUAGCUUAGCGGCGGACGGGUGAGUAAUGCUUAGGAAUCUGCCUAUUAGUGGGGGACAACAUUCCGAAAGGAAUGCUAAUACCGCAUACGCCCUACGGGGGAAAGCAGGGGAUCUUCGGACCUUGCGCUAAUAGAUGAGCCUAAGUCAGAUUAGCUAGUUGGUGGGGUAAAGGCCUACCAAGGCGACGAUCUGUAGCGGGUCUGAGAGGAUGAUCCGCCACACUGGGACUGAGACACGGCCCAGACUCCUACGGGAGGCAGCAGUGGGGAAUAUUGGACAAUGGGCGCAAGCCUGAUCCAGCCAUGCCGCGUGUGUGAAGAAGGCCUUUUGGUUGUAAAGCACUUUAAGCGAGGAGGAGGCUACUUGGACUAAUACUCUAGGAUAGUGGACGUUACUCGCAGAAUAAGCACCGGCUAACUCUGUGCCAGCAGCCGCGGUAAUACAGAGGGUGCGAGCGUUAAUCGGAUUUACUGGGCGUAAAGCGUGCGUAGGCGGCUUUUUAAGUCGGAUGUGAAAUCCCUGAGCUUAACUUAGGAAUUGCAUUCGAUACUGGGAAGCUAGAGUAUGGGAGAGGAUGGUAGAAUUCCAGGUGUAGCGGUGAAAUGCGUAGAGAUCUGGAGGAAUACCGAUGGCGAAGGCAGCCAUCUGGCCUAAUACUGACGCUGAGGUACGAAAGCAUGGGGAGCAAACAGGAUUAGAUACCCUGGUAGUCCAUGCCGUAACGAUGUCUACUAGCCGUUGGGGCCUUUGAGGCUUUAGUGCGCAGCUACGCGAUAGUAGACGCUGGGAGUACGUCGCAGACUAAAACUCAAUGAUUGACGGGGGCCCGCACAGCGGUGGAGCAUGUGGUUUAAUUCGAUGCAACGCGAAGAACCUUACCUGGUCUUGACAUAGUAAGAACUUUCCAGAGAUGGAUUGGUGCCUUCGGGAACUUACAUACAGGUGCUGCGAUGGCCGUGUUCAAGCUCGUGUCGUGAGAUGUUGGGUUAAGUCCCGCAACGAGCGCAACCCUUUUCCUUAUUUGCCAGCGGGUUAAGCCGGGAACUUUAAGGAUACUGCCAGUGACAAACUGGAGGAAGGCGGGGACGACGUCAAGUCAUCAUGGCCCUUACGACCAGGGCUACACACGUGCUACAAUGGUCGGUACAAAGGGUUGCUACCUAGCGAUAGGAUGCUAAUCUCAAAAAGCCGAUCGUAGUCCGGAUUGGAGUCUGCAACUCGACUCCAUGAAGUCGGAAUCGCUAGUAAUCGCGGAUCAGAAUGCCGCGGUGAAUACGUUCCCGGGCCUUGUACACACCGCCCGUCACACCAUGGGAAUUUGUUGCACCAGAAGUAGGUAGUCUAACCGCAAGGAGGACGCUACCACGGUUC